rnacentral:rRNA from 1 species
GACGAACGCUGGCGGCGCGCUUAACACAUGCAAGUCGAGCGAAGCGGCGGACGGGUGAGUAACCCGUGAGUAACCUACCUUAGACAUUGGGAUAGCCUCGGGAAACCGGGCUUAAUACCAAAUGGUCUAAGAGGGACUCGCGUCCCAUUAGCUAGUUGGUGAGGUAACGGCCACCCAAGGCGACGAUGGGUAGCCGGCCGGAGAGGGUGAACGGCCACAUUGGAACUGAGAAACGGUCCAAGAUCUACGGGAGGGAGCAGUGGGGAAUAUUGCACAAUGUAGGGAACUCUGAUGCAGCGACGCCGCGUGAACGAAUAAGGCUUUCGAGUCGUAAAGUUCUGUUAUAUGGGAAGCGGUACCAUAAGAAAAAGCCCCGGCUAACUACGUGCCAGCAGCCGCGGUAAUAC